AGUGUAGGCGGGAUCGUAAGUUAGGAGUUUAAUGCAUGGGCUUAACCCAUGAUCUGCUUUUAAUACUGCGAUUCUUGAGUAUGGGAGAGGGCGAUGGAAUUCCAGGUGUAGCGGUGGAAUGCGUAGAUAUCUGGAAGAACACCAGUAGCGAAGGCGGUCGCCUGGCCCAAUACUGACGCUGAUGCUCGAAAGCUAGGGGAGCAAACAGGAUUAGAUACCCUGGUAGUCCUAGCCGUAAACGAUGGACACUAGUUGCUGGAGGAGUCAAUCCUUUCGGUGACGAAGCUAACGCAUUAAGUGUCCCGCCUGGGGAGUACGCUCGCAAGGGUGAA
rnacentral:rRNA from 1 species